rnacentral:pre_miRNA from 1 species
UUUUUAUUAUAAGUAUAUUCCAUGAAAUGUUUGGAACAUACUUGUAGUAAAA